rnacentral:rRNA from 1 species
UACGGAGGGGGCGAGCGUUAUUCGGAAUUAUUGGGCGUAAAGGGCGCGUAGGCGGUUCGAUAAGUCAAAGGUGAAAUCCCUCGGCUCAACUGAGGAACUGCCUUUGAAACUGUCGAGCUUGAGUCCGGGAGGGGGUAGCGGAAUUCCCAGUGUAGCGGUGAAAUGCGUAGAUAUUGGGAGGAACACCGGUGGCGAAGGCGGCUACCUGGACCGGAACUGACGCUGAUGCGCGAAAGCGUGGGUAGCAAACAGG